rnacentral:rRNA from 1 species
CGUGCAGCCGGGAAUGCAAGUCAGAUGUGAAAUCCAUGGGCUUAACCCAUGAACUGCAUUUGAAACUGUAUUUCUUGAGUACUGGAGAGGCAAUCGGAAUUCCUAGUGUAGCGGUGAAAUGCGUAGACAUUAGGAGGAACACCAGUGGCGAAGGCGGAUUGCUAGACAGCAACUGACGGUGAGGCGCGAAAGUGUGGGGAGCAAACA